CGGACCUCUGCUGUGAAAGCUUUUGGAAACGGCUGUCUGUCACAGAGCUGUUUGUUCUACUUGACAGAAAGUUUAAAUAUCUAACAGCAGUUUGUGUAUUACAGGAAGACCAAACGCGGGAAAGAGGGAGAGAGAGUCUAAGUGGAGACUCCGGGAAGUCACUGCAAGAGGGCCAACAAAUAGUACAGCACAUAACCCAAAGAUCCUGCUGCUGAUCAGCUGUAUGUGAACUGUCGACUCCUACCAUUCCCCUGAGCUGAGGCACUUCUCAGACAACCGAAAAUCCCAGGUUUUGUGCGUUCCAUUUACCUCAGAAAUCGGAGGUCGGAGCUGGGAAUGAUGUCACACCUGAGUUGACGGCGUUCCAGUUAACAAGUUGGAAUACCUCGCACAGCCAGCUGUUGUUUACAACUUUGCCAGAGGUGCAGCAGGAUCUGCAGUCUGUGAUGUUGCCUCAGGGGGAGAUUAGGAGGGGCAGCCGGCCCUCUGUGUCACGUCGACAGUCACAGCGCCCAUCCACGGCUGGGCCAAACCCCACUGGGACCUUAAAUCCUGUUACACUGUCAGCUAAAACCAUCAUUUGUAUUAGAGAUGUGUGGGUGUUUAAGUGUGUGUACGUAUUAAGUGAGGGGGGAUAGUGUCUUAAACUAUGAAUUAUUCAUACCAAAAAGAAAAGGAGAUAUUGACUACAUCUCCAUAAACAGACUGCUCUCUUUAUGUCAUCAGGCACGAGAUCUUUGGGUAUAAUUGCAUAAAAGCCCCUGAAAAUGUGCUUCUCCAAUGGCACAGCAGGCACUGGUCAGUGUUAUCAUCGGGGAUGAACUUGAGUGAUGGCAAUUGUUCCAACUUAAUAUCUUAUAAAUAAUUUACUAUUUCAGAGGCAUUGCUAUCCCCCCUAUCAAACAGUAACGUUAAGAAGCUUUACCAACCCACAGCUGUAUGCUAGUUACAGAACACACCAAGCUGUGCUGAAUUAGUCUGGAUCAUUGGUUUGUGAGGGAAAACACAGAUAUGGAUAUGAUGAUACAUGAACCUUAUCAUAAGUGGCUAUAAAUGUAUUUUUUUAGCUUGGAACUAGAGCAAAAAAAUGUAAUAGAGUUGUUGUAAUGUGAGUGGGCUAUUUCCCUCCAUUAUUUAUCUCAGUAACAAGUGAUUAUGGAGAAUGAGAUUCUUUGCACUUCUGGCCCGCGCCUGCAGAGGGAGGUCAAAACUAUUUGUCAGUCUCCAGUUGGGAUUGCAAAUUAGGAUGAGCCUCCCUGCGUGACGACCCAUGAAACCUCUAUUCCUAUCCACGGGGUGACUGCUGUACAUAAUUUGAAAAUUAGGGCCUUUGAUAACAUCUUUAUGUUAAGCAAUACAUCAAGCUGCCACCGCCAUCCUGCCGCUGUGAACAAAAAAAGAGGUGGGUGAAAAUAAGUUUUAAAUCUGCAGUGUUCAGAGCCAUAAAAUUACACAUUUUGCCUGUUUAAUUUUGAGCUUAAGCACAUGGUCAGGCAAACUCCUCGUGAGAAUAAAAGCGCUUUAUAAGGUAUGAUGAAAACAUGUCAUUAACUAGGCUAAAUAAGAAUCUGAAUAAAAGCGAUAGAUUUGUGUUUACCUACAUGUUUCAGUGUGCAACAAAAUUGACAGACUAGGCUAGUUAAUGGCUAAUUGAUGGGAGAAAAUGAAAGGAUAGACUAUAAUAAAACAAUAAUGAAAGUGGCUCUCGGAGAUAUAGCAGUCAUUCCGGCAGAUAUUUUAUCUCGUUAAAGGGUUUAACUGCUCCUAAUUUUAAUGGCGCGCCUAAUUACAGGUCCUGCCUUUAUGGAAGAUUAGUGGUGUGAAGCUGAGCACAUUAGGCCUCUUUUAUGAGUAAAAAACAGAUAGCAGCACACGGUCAUGUGGGUAUGCUUUUGGAACUGAAGAGCUAAAUCGCUGGACAAUUUGUGGGAAGGAAAGCCUAAAUCAGAUGAUAUGUAGGCCUAAACAAUAGGCCUACACCUCAGCGGACGACAAGGUAGGCUACGUUUUGUCAGUAAUUAAAGAGGCUAACUCCAAAUACUACUAUACAAAGAAAGUGCGAAUAAUAAAGCAAAACCCAUGUUAAACACAAGGAUGUAGCUCUGCAAUAACUUUGUGUAGACUAUCUUAGCGCCAUCAUUGCCCCCAUCUAACACAACGUCCCGAGGCGUUGAGUCUAUGAUAUCAAAUUUAGGCCUACCCUUAAUUUAAAGAUAUCAACAGACUUUGUUUUGUGCUGGCUGCUUAAUAAAUAGGAAACAUUUAAACAUCGUAAGGAAAAGAAAUCAUAUUGCACUAUUUACUCACACAUUACGAGUCCCGUCCCUUUGAAGGUCUUGUUCAGAGAGCCUUAAAGUGAAAGAAAAUGUUUUCCUAUUACUUAAUUCAAUCAGAGCGCGAGGCGGGGGCUUCACGCGCAGCGCACUGGGCUCCUCUAUGACAGAGUCGCCUUUGUUGCGUCUAUCCGCCGCUGUCACACACUUUAAUUCGACUCUCUUUCUCUCUCAUUGAAACCCCUCCACAAUGACAUUCAAUAAGGGCCGCAGAGUGAAAACCUGGUUAUUUUUACAUAUUCUUUCCCCCGACUCUGCAGGGGCCCGAGCAAAGGAAUUAAUCACUGCUCUUUAACAGCACUGCCUUCAGGCAAUGACUUGUCCCUUUUUUGUGCCCAGAAAUGACACAUUAACCUUAAAAUGGAUAUGCAUAAACUUUACAUGCAGCUGUUGCGCUCAACACUGUCAGUAAAGUAGCCACACAGGUGCAGAAGAAGAAGACCUGUCGCGCAAAUAAAUUAACAUGUGCAACAAUUCAUUCAAAAGAAUGGUUGGUAUUUAUUCAGAAAGAUAACACGCAUGCAACAGUUUAUACAUUUGACUGGUUUCUCAUAAUCUCACCAGAUACGGGCAUAAUGAACCUUUAGUUUUAAAAGCACCGACGGGAAAUGGUUCUGUAAUUGAUAAUAAAUGUAGUUACAUUAACAGGUGUAAAUAUUUCUGAAAGUUUUCUCCUUCACGCCUUGGUUGUACACACUCGAUGAGGACCAUCAUACACGUACCUAAUAGGCUGCUUAAUGGCUAAAACAAAACUUGAAUACUGGC